rnacentral:rRNA from 1 species
UACAGGACAGUGGCGGAUGGGUGAGUAACGCGUAAGAAACCUGCCUUUCACACCGGGAUAGCAGCUGGAAACGGCUAUUAAUACCGGAUGACACUUUUUCCCCGCAUGAGGAAGAGGUUAAAGAAUUUCGGUGAAAGAUGGUCUUGCGUCUGAUUAGCUAGUUGGUGGGGUAACGGCCUACCAAGGCGACGAUCAGUAGCCGGCCUGAGAGGGUGUACGGCCACAUUGGGACUGAGACACGGCCCAAACUCCUACGGGAGGCAGCAGUGGGGAAUUUUGCACAAUGGAGGAAACUCUGAUGCAGCGACGCCGCGUGAACGAAGAAGGUCUUCGGAUUGUAAAGUUCUGUCCUGGGUGAAGAUAAUGACGGUAACUCAGGAGGAAGCCCCGGCUAACUACGUGCCAGCAGCCGCGGUAAUACGUAGGGGGCGAGCGUUGUUCGGAAUUAUUGGGCGUAAAGGGUACGUAGGCGGUUUGUUAAGUUUGGCGUUAAAUCACGGGGCUCAACCCCGUUCAGCGUUGAAAACUGGCAAACUUGAGUAGUAGGGGGGACAGUGGAAUUCCUAGUGUAGCGGUGAAAUGCGUAGAGAUUAGGAAGAAUAACCGGUGGCGAAGGCGACUGUCUGGAUACAUA